rnacentral:lncRNA from 1 species
UUUUUUUUCCCUCAAAUUUUUGUGAUUUUUCCCUCAAAUUUCACAAAUUUUUCCCCAAAAUUUUUUGGGAUUUUUCCUCAAAUUUUGGACAUUUUUUAUUUUCCUCCCGAACUUUUGACAAAUUUUCCCCAAAUUUUUGGGAUUUUUUUUUUUCCCCAAAUUUUUUGGGGGUGGGGGAGGGGUCGGGGGAGUCCCCCCCGGGGGGUUAUUGCAGGGGGGGGCUGGGGUCAAUCAGGGGUCAGAGGUCACUCCGGGUCACUCAGGGGUCACUCGGGGUCACUCAGGGGUCAGUCAGGGGUCAGGGGUCACUCAGGGUCACUCAGUCACUCAGGGUCACUCACUGGUCACUCAGGGGUCAAGGGUCACUCAGGGGUCAAGGGUCACUCAGGGGUCACCCAGGGGUCAGGGGUCACUCAUUGGUCACUCAGGGUCACUCAGGGGUCACUCGAGGUCACUCAGGGGUCACUCAGUCACUCAGGGUCACUCAGGGUCAUUCAGGGGACAGGGGUCACUUGGGGUCACUCAGGGGUCACUCACUGGUCAGGGGUCACUCAGGGGUCACUCGGGGUCACUUGGGGUCACUCACUGGUCAGUCAGGGGUCAGGGGUCACUCAGGGGACAGAGGUCACUCGGGGUCACUCAGGGGUCACUCACUGGUCAGGGGUCACUCAGGGGUCACUCAGAGUCACUCAGGGUCACUCGGGGUCACUCAGGGGACAGGGGUCACUCAGGGGUCACUCACUGGUCACUCAGGGGUCACUCAGGGGUCACUCAGGGGUCACUCAGGGGUCACUCAGGGGUCAAAGGUCACUCCGCCACCUGCCCGCCGUUCUCUUUGCUCUCCGAGGUGAUCGCCAGGUACUCCGAGCUGGGGGGAGGGGCCAAAAUGGGCUGGGGGCGGGGCCACGCCCCUCUGGCCACGCCCCAUCCGACCACACCCAAUUUAAGCCACGCCCACUCCCUUUAAGCCACGCCCCUUUCUGCCAUUUUAACCCCCAAAUUUCCCCUUUUUUCCCCCAAUUUUUGCUUUUUUCCGCCCCAAAUUUCACCCCCAAAUUGAGCCACGCCCCCUUCAGGCCACACCCAACUUAA